rnacentral:lncRNA from 1 species
AACACAAAGGAUUACCUCAAAUUCCUAUGUGCCUUGGGCUACAGUAAAACACUAAUCUCGAUUUUCUCAAAUGAUAAGUUCAAUUGUCCCAGGACUAAUAUUAGUCUCGCCGAUUUCAACUAUCCUUCGAUCACAGUCCCUGAACUCAAGGGUUUAAUUACCUUGAGUCGAAAAGUAAAAAAUGUAGGUUCACCGACUACUUACAGAGUUACAGUACAAAAACCAAAAGGAAUUUCAGUGACUGUAAAGCCAAAAAUACUGAAGUUCAAAAAAGCUGGAGAAGAGAAAAGUUUCACUGUCACUCUCAAGAUGAAAGCCAAGAAUCCUACCAAGGAGUAUGUGUUUGGAGAGUUGGUGUGGUCGGAUGAAGAUGAACACUACGUAAGGAGUCCUAUAGUGGUGAAAGCAGCUUAAUUGAUUAAUUAGAAACAAUAAUGUUGGUUUAAGAUAUUAUAUUUUUUACCUUUGUGGUAGCAGGAAAAAGAAAUGCCUUCUAGUUU